rnacentral:ribozyme from 1 species
UGGUUUGAAUUCAAACCAUGCUCCUGCUCCUUUCAAGCAUCCGUGGCACCAGAUGCUAAAUCGUUUGCGUGUGUGCUUGUAGCACUUGUCAAACAAAAUAACAACAACAACAAUGAUGAUCA